GGUGGACAAACCGGAGGAAGUGGGGAUGACGUCAAGUCCUCAUGGCCCUUAUAGGUGGGGCUACACACGUCAUACAAUGGCCGGUACAAAGGGCAGCCAACCCGCAGGGGGAGCCAAUCCCAUAAAGCCGGUCCGUAGUCCGGAUCGCAGUCUGCAACUCGACUGCGUGAAGUCGGAAUCGCUAGUAAUCGUGGAUCAGCAUGUCACGGUGAAUACGUUCCCGGGUCUU
rnacentral:rRNA from 1 species